GUCCAAAGCAUUGAGUUCGAUUCGGGGCGGCUUCCCUGUUCUGUUAAUUAAACUUUGGGACAUUGGAACACAAGCUAGGGGAGACGAUCGGACAGAAAGCAAGGCUCUAUUCGCUUACCUCCCAGUCCACAAAA